ensembl:lncRNA
CCUCGAUUCCCCAAGUUUCUUCAAACCAGUUUGAGCAGUAGUGGAGCAGAAGCUACAGAACAUGAGGAAGGACUGGGAGCCAAGGCCUCACCCCUAACCCUUGUCCUGGAAAUGUCCCAGUAGAAGAGCUGUAGUAGGGCUGCUAAUCACUCACCUGUCACACGCUGGCUGUGGGCCGGGGCCUGGGAAUUGCAGCACCUUAUGGAUGUGAUUGUAUUCAAUCCUCAGCAGCCCUCGAGGGUGGAAGGAAGGAACUACUGUGUCAUCCUCCGUGUGCAGAUGAGGAAGUUGAGGCAUAGGCAAGGUGACCAGCUUGCUCAAGGGGACAGACAGUAGACAGCUGAGCCGGCCACACAUCUGGGCAGUCUGACCCACUGCCCUUGCUCUGCCCCACUGGAUCUCACACGGAAGGACACACCAAGCUCCCAAGAAGGCAAUGUCUCAUCAUUCACAAUCACUAAACAUGACUUCGAGAUGGAGGUUAUCAUUCUGGAUGAAGUCUGAGGAAAAUUCAAGUUUCAGAUUUUCAGCUGAUUAUAGGAGCCAACAUUUAUGCUGCUCAGCCUCAGACUUGAUGGUGGGGCUGUAACUGAGCUAUCUGCAACAUUCGUGAACUUUGAGAAGACUGCUCCCCAUUCAAGGUUGAUGCCAACUUGGGCACAACAGAAAGAUAUUCAUGUUUGCCCUGUUACAUAAAGAGCAGGGUGUGCAAGUAAUUGCUCUUCUAUUUCUAUUCUUUUCCAAUGCUAUUGUAAUCUAUACUGUUGGACACCCAACCAAAAUCUUCCUUGCCUACAAAGUCCUGCUAUUAUUCAGAUAUAGGGAAACAACGAGUAAAGGAAAGUGCCCCCCCACACACACACACACACACUCUAGGGAAUUAAUCUGAUUGUGCUAAAGUGAGUCAUGGAAGUCUACACUUGGUCAGUGACUGGUCUACAUGUGAUCAAAUCCUAGCCAAUGAGAUGCAGAAGGAAUUCUGGUGGGGCCUUUGGGAAAGAUUUUGUCUCUUGAUGAAAGUAGGGAGAGGCAUUUAUUACACUUAACUCUUUCUUACUGCAAAUCUUUUUUUUUAUAGCACUUGUUGCACUUAUAGAACUUUUUUCAGAACAAUGAAAAAAAGUCACUGCUUAAUUCUCUUAGGAAGGGUUGAACCAAUGUUGCAAAAAAAAAAAAAAAAGUAGAGCUGGGCAUGGUGGCACAGGCCUGCAGCCUCAGAAAGCUGAGGCAGGAGAAUGGCUGCAAGUUCAAGGUCAUCCUGGGCUACAUAGUGAGUUCAAGGCCAGCCUGAAUUACAAACAGAGACCCUGCCUCAAAAAAAAAAAAUUAGAAAUCCUGAGGUUCUGUGGCUUUGAGCCUAGGACAUUGCCCAGAUGGGGCAGGGAUUGGAAGGUUGAGUCCCUCCCAAGGACAAAGAGCACCUGGAUGCCAGCCAUCUCUCUGCCUAGUAGCUGCUCGCUGGACCUUGGCCCAAUAAUCUGAUGUGAGAAUCUCAAUUGCUAUAUGUUCUACAGCUAUAUUACCUAUGAAGGCUCAGCUAGGCUUACAGCUUAAAUUACUUCCCUCAAAACCAACCAUUAAGUAUUCAAGGUAGUUGGCACAGCACAAGAGAAAUCCCUUUCUGUAGGUAGGGUUUUAUGGAUUACAGGGACACCUGUGGGCUAGAUCUGAAUCCCUGCACCUGUUCAAUGACUACUACAGUCAUUGAGUUAAUUAAGAAAAAAAGGCCGAUAGCAUCCACUCUGGCCAGGAAUUCACUUCAUCCUGGCCUUAGACUCUAUGGGGAGGAGGUAAAACACCCUGCUUCAAAUCUCCAAGGUCUUAAAACAAGGCAAUUUACUUGUUUUGGGUGCCUGUGACAACUUCCCAACAGUGGGACCUGCUGUUCUGUAAGUGACUAAAUAAGACAGAGGCCUUAACCACACUCUAACCAGAGUAAAAGAAAUCCUUUCAUGGGUUAAAGCCAGAAAGGGGAGCUUCCAGCCAGAAUUUGUCAGAAUGCUGUUCCCCCAAACCCAGAG